CCAUGAACUGGAAAAUGUUUUUGAGAUCAAGGAAAAGCAGCAAAAAGGAAGGUGUUACUACGGAACUGAGAGAGGAGAUAAAAAUCUUUGUUCUUGAUGGUCUUGAUCCCACCUGCCUGGGUGCUGCAGCUCAGUGCUGCCUGAGAAAGCAAGUGACUGAGAGGAGCAGAAGACCACCAGGUAUCAGGUGCUUUGGGUUGACUAUGAAGAGCUAGAAAAGAAACUCAAUAUUCACCCAUCCAAAUUUUCAAGGAAAAAAGGAAGAAAAACAUGCAUAUGCACAACGCCUAAGACAAAACAUGAAUCACUCAUCUGUCACAAUUGCCUACGCUCCGGUGUCUGGGAAGAUAUUCUGAAGGUUACAACUACAUCUAUAGCUCUUCAUGUAUCACAGAACACUCCCAAGGAUACAUGGGAGUGACAGAGGCCACAGUAACCACCACAUGACCCCAACUCUGCUCACUACUGUGGUGUCUUCUGACCAAUUAUUACUGA
rnacentral:lncRNA from 1 species